AGUGAACGCUGGCGGUAGGCCUAACACAUGCAAGUCGAACGGCAGCACAGUAAGAGCUUGCUCUUACGGGUGGCGAGUGGCGGACGGGUGAGGAAUACAUCGGAAUCUACUUUUUCGUGGGGGAUAACGUAGGGAAACUUACGCUAAUACCGCAUACGACCUACGGGUGAAAGCAGGGGAUCUUCGGACCUUGCGCGAUUGAAUGAGCCGAUGUCGGAUUAGCUAGUUGGCGGGGUAAAGGCCCACCAAGGCGACGAUCCGUAGCUGGUCUGAGAGGAUGAUCAGCCAACCUGGAACUGAAACACGGUCCAGACCCCUACGGGGGGCAGCGGGGGGGAAUUUUGGAAAAGGGGGGCAAGCCUGAACCAGCCAUACCGGGGGGGGGAAGAAGGCCUUCGGGUUUUAAAGCCCUUUUUUUGGGAAAAAAAAGCAGCAGGUUAAUACCCCGCUGUUCUGACGGUACCCAAAGAAUAAGCACCGGCUAACUUCGU
rnacentral:rRNA from 1 species